GUAUAUCAAGACUUGGGUCCCCCAGAACUACUAUUCCAGCUCAAAUGUUUGCUUGCCAUUCAUUAGCUGGGUGGCCUUCAACAAGUAACAUAACGUCUUUGAGCCUCUUCCUCAUCCAAGAACUGGAGAAAUUAGGCUGGGUGCCAACUAAAGUUGCUUCUAACUCUAAAUGUUAUAAUCCUACUUCCCAUAAGAUCAGUCCCAGCCCAAUCAAUGUUUCUUUUGCAUUCCUCCUGUUCUUAGUUUAAAAAACAUAUAGUCAUUGAUCCUCAUUACUCAUGGAUUCCAUAUUUGUGAAUUUACCUACUGGCUAGAAUUUAUUUGUAACCUUCACACCAGUACUUAUAGCACCUUCAUGGUCAUUCAAAAACAUGCAGAGACUGGCAAAAAGUCUAAGCCACCUGAAAUGCACGUUUUCAACUGAGGUCAAAGGUCCAGUACAUGGAAGCCACAGUGAUAUCCUGUACACCUGAGAAGAAGGGGAAAAUGACAGGAAAAUAAACUUCAUCUAUUGAUGAAGGAAACAGAUGAAGGAAAAAGUCUCUAAGGCCAAAGUCUCUACCAUGAGCAGCUAAGAAGAGGAGAAAUAAAGAAUUCUGAGGCUCAAACAAAGGGUGAUACUCCUAAUGCAUCCAGCAGCUCUUAAGUACUCUAUCACAAUACAUGCCUACCAUAAAGUAAAAAUAGUCCUGCUAGUUAUGUUCUAAAGGAACUUGUCAAAUGGUCCUCAUUGCAUGAAUACCUAUAAUGGAAAUUUGAGUGAAAUAACUACUUCUGAGAAAAGGAAUCAUAAAACACACCAUUAAGAAAGAAAGAAAGAAAGAAAGAAAGAAAGAAAGAAAGAAAGAAAGAAAGAAAGAAAUCUAAAGAGUGACAUCAGUAUGUCAGAGAACACCAUGCCCUCCCAGAGGCACAGUUCAGGAAUUCUCCAGGUCAAAUAUUGAAAAUGCAUGUGCAGGAUAAACAUGGCAAAAGAAAAAAAAAAAAAGCCAACAAAAAGCAAAAGACAUACUGUGUUUCUGUUGUCAUCAUUGAUCAAUUAAAAGAUCCUCUAAAUUCCUGGAAGAUAAGCAUUUGGCCUUUCCUCUCUAUAUCACUAGCAACUAGCAUGGUAGACAUACCAGCUGUGCAGUGAAUUUCUGCUGAAU